rnacentral:lncRNA from 1 species
AAGUUGAAUGAAGAUUUACUGAGAAUAAAGAAAACAGAAAUGAAAGGAAAACAGAGGAGUACUGAAAAGUUUAAAAACUUGUAGGUCAGGAAACAUCAUAAGCAACACUGAAAGCAAUUUUAAAAAGUGAAACUGAGAACAAGAGUUGUCUUAGAUCUGCUGACAAACUGUUAAUAUCAUGACUUGGUAGAAAUCUGUAACAUCAUAGCUCCCCUGCCAACCUUGCCCCUCAGGAGUCAGCAUGGCUGUAUUCACCAGAAAGCACAGUGACUUCAGCAAGGUGGCUGCAUAGUCUCCAGUGUGAACAAAGUCUGGAGAUAAGCAGUCCCAGGCAGGUGAUGCUUCCAUGAAGACACCAACAGCCAGGCUCUUUGCAGUUUAAGCACUCUACCCCUCCCAGGGUGGCCGUAACCUUGUUCCAGAUGUUGCCACAGCAAACAGCAUCACAGCCAUGUUUCCGGCAGCAGAAACAGCAGAGGGGGAGGAAGGAAGGAUUUUAGGAUGCAAAUCCGUUUAUAUGGUGUGCUUCCAGUGACAUUUAAAAUUUGCAGUGAAAGUCCCAUAAUCCAGGUGAGCCUAUAUUUGAAAGUAACCUGUUAGGUCCUAGAGGUCGAUGGGAGGGAGGGGUGUCUGGGACUCCUCUGUUAGCCACAGAAGAGAUGGUUGUGGUAUAUGUCAGUGGCUGGCUGGCAGGAAGACUGGCUGUCCUGCCAUGUUAAGGGUUGUAUUUGAGGGGUAUUCAAAAUAAUGAUGGUCCUUCAGAGGAGAUUUUGAAGAAUUUCGCACGGAACAGGUUUUCCAGGAACUUAAAAAAUAUAUUUAUGUGUGAUUGAUGGUGUCCUCUGAUAAAUUGCAUCAGAAAGUUUAUACUAACAAGAAAUAUAUUUUCAUCCAUUAAAGUACAGAGUAAAAA